AUUGAACGCUGGCGGUAGGCCUAACACAUGCAAGUCGAACGCGAAAGUCCUUCGGGAUGAGUAGAGUGGCGGACGGGUGAGUAACGCGUAGGAAUCUAUCCUGUAGUGGGGGAUAACGUUUCGAAAGGAACGCUAAUACCGCAUACGCCCUACGGGGGAAAGCGGGGGAUCUUCGGACCUCGUGCUAGAGGAGGAGCCUGCGUCGGAUAAGCUAGUUGGUGAGGUAAGGGCUCACCAAGGCGACGAUCCGUAGCUGGUCUGAGAGGAUGAUCAGCCACACCGGAACUGAGACACGGUCCGGACUCCUACGGGAGGCAGCAGUGGGGAAUAUUGCGCAAUGGGCGAAAGCCUGACGCAGCCGUACCGCGUGUGUGAAGAAGGCCUUCGGGUUGUAAAGCACUUUCAGUGGGGAGGAAAAGCUGGCGGCUAAUAUCCGCCGGCCGUGACGCUACCCACAGAAGAAGCACCGGCUAAUUCCGUGCCAGCCGCCGCAGUAAAAC
rnacentral:rRNA from 1 species